rnacentral:rRNA from 1 species
GUUGUUGCGGUUAAAAAGCUCGUAGUUGGAUCUCGGCGGGCAGGGGGUGGUUCGCUCUUCAGCGCUACUGCCCCGCUUUGCCCGUGUGAUUGGCGGAGGUUUCGGGGUGCUCUUCGUUGAGUGACUCGGAGCGCCGUCAGGUUUACUUUGAAAAAAUUAGAGUGCUCAAAGCAGGCUUUUCACGCUUGAAUAUUCGUGCAUGGAAUAAUGGAAUAGGAACUCGUUUCUAUUUUGUUGGUUUUCGGAAAUCGAGUUAAUGAUUAACAGGGACAAUUGGGGGCAUUAGUAUUCAGACGACAGAGGUGAAAUUCUUGGACCGUCUGAAGACUGACUACUGCGAAAGCAUUUGCCAAGAGUGUUUUCAUUAAUCAAGAACGAAAGUUAGAGGUUCGAAGGCGAUCAGAUACCGCCCUAGUUCUAACCAUAAACGAUGCCAGCUAGCGAUCUGCCGAGUUUUUUUUGUAGGCUCCGCAGGAAGCUUUCGGGAAACCAAAGCUUUUGGGUUCCGGGGGAAGUAUGGUUGCAAAGCUGAAACUUAAAGGAAUUGACGGAAGGGCACCACCAGGAGUGGAGCCUGCGGCUUAAUUUGACUCAACACGGGAAAUCUCACCAGGCCCGGACACUGGAAGGAUUGACAGAUUGAGAGCUCUUUCUCGAUUCGGUGGGUGGUGGUGCAUGGCCGUUCUUAGUUGGUGGAGUGAUUUGUCUGGUUAAUUCCGAUAACGAACGAGACUCUGUCCUGCUAAAUAGUUGGGUCGUCCUUCGUGCGAUCCAAGUUCUUCUUAGAGGGACUGGCUGCGUCUAGCAGCACGAGAUUGAGCAAUAACAGGUCUGUGAUGCCCUUAGAUGUUCUGGGCCGCAUGCGCGCUACACUGAAGGGAUCAGCGUG